rnacentral:rRNA from 1 species
UACGUAGGGUGCAAGCGUUAAUCGGAAUUACUGGGCGUAAGCGUGCGCAGGCGGUUAUAUAAGACAGUUGUGAAAUCCCCGGGCUCAACCUGGGAACUGCAUCUGUGACUGUAUAGCUAGAGUACGGUAGAGGGGAUGGAAUUCCGCGUGUAGCAGUGAAAUGCGUAGAUAUGCGGAGGAACACCGAUGGCGAAGGCAAUCCCCUGGACCUGUACUGACGCUCAUGCACGAAAGGCGUGGGAG